UACGAAGGGGGCUAGCGUUGUUCGGAAUUACUGGGCGUAAAGCGCACGUAGGCGGAUAUUUAAGUCAGGGGUGAAAUCCCAGAGCUCAACUCUGGAACUGCCUUUGAUACUGGGUAUCUCGAGUCCGAGAGAGGUGAGUGGAAUUCCGAGUGUAGAGGUGAAAUUCGUAGAUAUUAGGAAGAACACCGGUGGCGAAGGCGGCCCACUGGAUCGGUACUGACGCUGAGGUGCGAAAGCGUGGGGAACAAACAGG
rnacentral:rRNA from 1 species